rnacentral:rRNA from 1 species
ACGCUCGACACCUACUGGAGGCAGCAGUGGGGAAUAUUGCACAAUGGGGGAAACCCUGAUGCAGCGACGCCGCGUGAAGGAAGAAGUAUCUCGGUAUGUAAACUUCUAUCAGCAGGGAAGAAAAUGACGGUACCUGACUAAGAAGCCCCGGCUAACUACGUGCCAGCAGCCACGGUAAUCUGAGCGGGCUGGCAAGGC